UGCCCGAUGGUGUAAUGGUAGCACAAGCGACUCUGACUCGCUUUGUCUAGGUUCGAGUCCUAGUCGGGCAGCCA
rnacentral:tRNA from 1 species